rnacentral:rRNA from 1 species
UACGGGGGGAGCAAGCGUUGUUCGGAUUUUACUGGGCGUAAAGGGCGCGUAGGCGGUCGUGACAAGUCACUUGUGAAAUCUCCGGGCUUAACUCGGAACGGUCAAGUGAUACUGUCGGACUAGAGUACAGAAGGGGCAACUGGAAUUCUCGGUGUAGCGGUGAAAUGCGUAGAUAUCGAGAGGAACACCUGCGGCGAAGGCGGGUUGCUGGGCUGAUACUGACGCUGAGGCGCGAAAGCCAGGGGAGCGAACGGG